GGCCAGUGAUUUUUCCAAAUUUGUCCGUACCAUCUGAUGUCUGAUGUAAUCAUCUUACAAAUCUUUCUGAGGCCU